AGGGCACCACCAGGAGUGGAGCCUGUGGCUUAAUUUGACUCAACACGGGAAAUCUCACCAGGCCCGGACACCAGAAGGAUUGACAGAUUGAUAGCUCUUUCUUGAUUUGGUGGGUGGGGGUGCAUGGCCGUUCUUAGUUGGUGGAGCGAUUUGUCUGGUUAAUUCCGAUAACGAACGAGACCCUGGCCUACUUACUAGGCUGCGGAUCCUUUUGUCCGCAGAGUCUUCUUAGAGGGACAACUGGCGUUGAUCUAGCUACAUGAAAUGGGGCAAUAACAGGUCUGUGAUGCCCUUAGAUGUUCUGGGCCGCACACGCCCUACACUGAAGGGAUCAUCUUGUUUAUCCUAGCCUGAAAAGGCCGGGAAACCCGCUGAAUUCUCUUCGUGCUUGGGAUUGGGGCUUGCAAUUGUUUCUCAUGAACGAGGAAUUCCCAGUAAGUGCGAGUCAUAAGCUCGCGCUGAUUACGUCCCUGCCCUUUGUACACACCGCCCGUCGCUACUACCGAUUGAAUGAUUUAG
rnacentral:rRNA from 1 species